rnacentral:lncRNA from 1 species
CAAAGCCUCCAGGUACAUCGUGUUCCUGGGAAAGUGCCUGGCCCCGGCUGUGGCAUGCCAGCUUGCGUUAUUCUUAGUUGUGUAUGUGUAUCUCUGUCCCACAGAUUAUGAUCGUCUCGAGGAAACGGCCUUAUUUACCUUCGUCUAAGUGGAGCAGGUGUUGCACAUGGCACAUAAAAGCUUCAGUUAAAAAAAACCAACAACAACAACAACAACAAAAGAACAGAAAACAAAAAGCAAAAGUUGGAAGCCACUGCAUAGAGAAAUCCAGAACUUAAAGAGCUCUACAAAAGAAGAUGCAAGCUUAUGGUAAUUUAUACCACUUUGCGGUCAGCUACUAGAUGAAUUGGCUAUGCCAACAAGGUAACUAAAAUUGACACACUUUGAGAUGCAAUAAAGAAUAAACAGGAAAGCUUUCACUGCAAUUACAGGUCAGAGAAAGCAAUAAUCACCUUAAAGUGUAUGUUCUUUAGUUGCUUUAGUCGUCUUCCUAUUCCAAGGUAUUAUUAAGCAGAUAACACAAUGCAGAUAGAUCCACCUGUGCACAUGCUCUUUGGCACCUCAGAGUGCCUUUCUGUAAGGAUGUUACACGAUUUCUAAAAGACUUAAGGAUAACUGCUUUAUUAAAAUGCUAUUAGAGAAAAAAGUUGUAGAAGUAUCUUUUUAAUAUGAGAGAGAUUUUGACAUAUCAAGUAAAAAGACAGUAUACUUUUUUCUUUUUAGGCCUCAUACCAUAGUUACAGCAUAGUGUCUGUGAUAUGAUCCCGUUUUUGUGAAAAAAUAAUGUGUGUGUUUAUGUGUGUAUCAGGAUUUGUCAGCUUUGGUACUGUUCACAUUUGGGGCCGGAUGAUUAUUUGUUGUUCCUGCACUAGAGGAAAUUUAGAAGCAUCCUUAAAUUCUAAGAACCACUAGAUACCAGUAGCAGGACCACCUUCCCCCCCCCCACCCAUCUGUGGCCUCUCCAGUUGUGACAACCAAAAAUGUCACCAGACCCUGCCAAAUCACCCCAGUUGAGAACCACUGAUACAGAUAUAACUGACCAAGGAGUGUCUCUUUAGUGGAUAGACUUUUUUUUUUUUUUUAAUGUCUUUCUCUUUUGGUUGUUUAUAGAUUCUGAUUUUUCUAUAAUGAGCAUAUGGUAUCUUCAUAAUAAAAAAUUCCUAUAAAACUGUAUUUACAUUGAAAAUAUAUACUAGUUUCAUAGCAGUUACUUUUACAAAUUUGAUGAUGGAGAUUCUUAAGCAGAAAGCUAUUCCUGGAAAAUCAAGUAGGAAGCUCAGAUGUACCAUUGCAGUGCUCAAGUAAGUGUGAUUUCUUUCAUUUUCUUCCCAUUAAUUCAUUCAUUCAAAGAUGUCUAUUUAUUAGCA